GACGAACGCUGGCGGCGUGCUUAACACAUGCAAGUCGAACGGAAAGGCCCUGCUUUUGUGGGGUGCUCGAGUGGCGAACGGGUGAGUAACACGUGAGUAACCUGCCCUUGACUUUGGGAUAACUUCAGGAAACUGGGGCUAAUACCGGAUAGGAGCUCCUGCUGCAUGGUGGGGGUUGGAAAGUUUCGGCGGUUGGGGAUGGACUCGCGGCUUAUCAGCUUGUUGGUGGGGUAGUGGCUUACCAAGGCUUUGACGGGUAGCCGGCCUGAGAGGGUCACCGGCCACAUUGGGACUGAGAUGCGGCCCAGACUCCUACGGGAGGCAGCAGUGGGGAAUAUUGCACAAUGGGCGGAAGCCUGAUGCAGCAACGCCGCGUGCGGGAUGACGGCCUUCGGGUUGUAAACCGCUUUCGCCUGUGACGAAGCGUGAGUGACGGUAAUGGGUAAAGAAGCACCGGCUAACUACGUG
rnacentral:rRNA from 1 species